CGCUGAAGUGAUGGCAAUUAAAACUUAAAUAUACCCUGAACAACACAUGUUGUCAACUUCAUCCCUGAUCAGCG
rnacentral:snoRNA from 1 species